AACGCGAAGAACCUUACCUGGGCUCGAAGCGCAGUGGACCGGGGUAGAAAUAUCCCUUCCCCUUAAAAGGCUGCUGCGGAGGUGCUGCAUGGCUGUCGUCAGCUCGUGUCGUGAGAUGUUGGGUUAAGUCCCGCAACGAGCGCAACCCUCGUCCUAUGUUGCCAGCGGGUAAUGCCGGGGACUCAUAGGAGACUGCCGGGGUCAACUCGGAGGAAGGUGGGGAUGACGUCAAGUCCUCAUGCCCCUUAUGUCUUGGGCUGCAAACAUGCUACAAUGGCCAGUACAAAGGGUUGCGAGACCGCAAGGUGGAGCGAAUCCCAAAAAGCUGGUCUCAGUUCGGAUUGGGGUCUGCAACUCGACCCCAUGAAGUCGGAGUCGCUAGUAAUCGCAGAUCAGCAACGCUGCGGUGAAUACGUUCCCGGGCCUUGUACACACCGCAUAC
rnacentral:rRNA from 1 species